GUGAGGAAUAUUGGUCAAUGGACGAGAGCCUGAACCAGCCAAGUCGCGUGAAGGAAGAAGGAUCUAUGGUUCGUAAACUUCUUUUGCAGGGGAAUAAAGUGCAGGACGUGUCCUGUUUUGUAUGUACCCUGAGAAUAAGGAUCGGCUAACUCCGUGCCAGCAGCCGCGGUAAUACGGAGGAUCCGAGCGUUAUCCGGAUUUAUUGGGUUUAAAGGGUGCGUAGGUGGUUUGAUAAGUCAGCGGUGAAAGUUUGCAGCUUAACUGUAAAAAUGCCGUUGAAACUGGCGGACUUGAGUGUAAAUGAGGUAGGCGGAAUGCGUGGUGUAGCGGUGAAAUGCAUAGAUAUCACGCAGAACUCCGAUUGCGAAGGCAGCUUACUAAGCUACAACUGACACUGAAGCACGAAAGCGUGGGGAUCAAACAGGAUUAGAAACCCGGGUAGUCC
rnacentral:rRNA from 1 species